ACAAGACACAUCACUUUAAUAACACACACUUACAGAACACAGGUUACACAGUUACACACAACCCUGUUAUAAAAUUUCUUACCAAGUGGAAUAACUCUACGUACUAAUAAAACAUAAACACAAAGUCAGCAGACAUGACCUUCUUACACGCUGACACACAGAGAAAAUAAACAACUCUGUUACACUACAGUGCCCUUAGAUGAAGUACACGUUUAAAUCUCCCGAACACUGAUUCUCGAAUCAAGUUGAAGCUUUAAACAAUUAUUUAUUAUAUUAUCUUAUAUAAUACAGACG